CCCCCAGUACGGGAUGAGCAGAUCCGCGGCCGCCACGGGGCCCCAUGGAGGAGCAGCCACCGCCGCCACCGGCCCGUCCACCAGCGAGCACGGCCUUACUGGGCAGCCUACACCGCGGCGCCCCCUCAGCGGCCGGCUUGUCUGGCGGGACUUCCUCCGCGGCGGCGGCCGCCGCCGUGCUCUCCUCCGUGGCGGCCGCGGGGGCCGCGGGGCUGGGGAACCUGAGCGACGCGAGCGGGGGCGGCACCGCUACCGCUCCCGCUGGCGGCGGCCUCGGCGGGUCCGGGGCGGCGCGGGAGGCUGGGGCGGCGAUGAGGCCGCCGCUGGGCCCGGAGACGGCGCCGCUGCUGUCGCACGGGGCAGCGGUGGCGGCCCAGGCGCUCGUCCUCCUGCUUAUCUUCCUGCUGUCUAGCCUGGGCAACUGUGCGGUGAUGAGUGUCAUCGUAAAGCACCGGCAGCUCCGCACCGUCACCAACGCCUUCAUCCUGUCGCUGUCCCUGUCGGAUCUGCUCACGGCGCUGCUCUGCCUGCCCGCCGCCUUCCUUGACCUCUUCACGCCGCCCGGGGGCUCGGUGCCUGCCGCCGCCGCGGGGCCCUGGCACGGCUUCUGCGCAGCCAGCCGCUUCUUCAGCUCGUGCUUCGGCAUCGUGUCUACGUUCAGCGUGGCGCUCAUCUCACUGGACCGCUACUGCGCCAUCGUGCGGCCGCCGCGGGAGAAGAUUGGCCGCCGCCGGGCACUGCAGCUGCUGGCGGGCGCUUGGCUGGCGGCCCUGGGCUUCUCCUUGCCCUGGGAGCUGCUCGGGGCACCCCGGGAACUCGCGGCGGCGCAGAGCUUCCACGGCUGCCUCUACCGGACUUCCCCCGACCCCGCGCAGCUGGGCGCAGCCUACAGCGUGGGGCUGGUGGUGGCCUGCUACCUGCUGCCCUUCCUGAUCAUGUGCUUCUGCCACUACCACAUCUGCAAGACAGUGCACCUGUCGGACGUGCGUGUGCGGCCCGUGACCACCUACGCGCGCGUGCUGCGCUUCUUCAGCGAGGUGCGCACGGCCACCACUGUGCUCAUCAUGAUCAUCUUCGUCAUCUGCUGCUGUGGGCCCUACUGCGUCCUGGUGCUGAUGGCCGCCGCCCGGCAGGCCCAGGCCGCGCAGGCCCCCUCGCUCCUCAACGUUGUAGUCGUCUGGCUGACCUGGGCCAAUGGGGCCAUUAAUCCUGUCGUCUACGCCAUCCGCAACCCCAACAUUUCGAUGCUCCUAGGGCGCAACCGUGAGGAGGGCUACCGGACUAGGAAUGUGGAUGCUUUCCUGCCUAGCCAGGGUCCGGGUCUGCAAGCCAGAAGCCUCAAUCGCCUUCGAAACCGCUAUGCCAACCGGCUGGGGGCCUGCAGCAGGAUGUCCUCUUCCACCCCGGCCAGCAGGGUAUUAGGGGACGUGGCCAUGUGGGCCCGCAAAAAUCCAGUUGUACUUUUCUGCGGAGAGGGACCACCAGAGCCUGUGACUGCAGUGGCCAAACAGCCUAAAUCUGAAGGCUAUCAUCACAAGUCAGAAGUUUAUAAAUUUGCUACACUCAAUGUGGUACAAAGUAGGUGAAAUAAUCUCUCCUCUCUAGCCCUUACUUUAUGAAGCAUAUAUAGAUUUCAUGCAGCUGGACUAACAAAAACAGAAGUCUACAGGUAAGGAAACCAAGAAUGAUCAGUUACGGUACUGUCAUCAUUAUCAGCAUGACUAUCAUCUACCAUUUUUGUUUUCUACUUUUUAUAAGGGCAACUUCCUGGGUACUAAGGCUACUAAAAAGUAGAAGCCACAGUACUCAUCUGCAGAGGGCUUACAGCCUCAGCAAGGACCUUGUGGCUUUGUGACAGCAAUCAGCCAUAACCAGUUUACUUGUGGAGAAGAAAAGCUGUAGCAUUUUCAGAAGAGGCUGUCAAGGAAAAGAGAUGAAUUUGGAAGCAAGAGAUAUGCAGGUAUAGAUCAGCAACCCAUUUGACCCAGUGUAAGUACUUAAACAAUCAACACCUCAAAAGAUGAAGAAGGAAUGAUUCUCAAAGUAGUCUAAGACUUCGACGUUUCCUCAUGCUUACUAUGAGUAUGCAAUUAUAGUGACUUCGUGGGGAAAGGAGAAAUAGAAGCUAUGAAAUAUUGAAAUGGAUUAAAUAUUGAGUACUAUGUAAAGGCCAGACGGUAAUCCUUCAUGUCUUAUUCUGCUCCCAGUUUGAGUAUUUCAUUUGGGUGAAAAUAAUAAUAGCAACAAGUAAUACUCUGUAUAGUAGGUGCAUUAGUUCAUAUAUCCUCAGAGCAUUCUUAUGAAGGCAUGCUGUAUUAUCACUGUCCCCAUUUUGCAGAUGAGAAAACCGAGGCACAGAGGUGUUAUGUGAUGACACAGCUAGUAAGUGCUAAACAUGAGAUUUGUACCUGGCAGACUGGUGCCAGAAGUCCUCUCUUAACUGCUAUACUGUACUGCCUCUCUCUUUUGAAAAAGACAAUGAGAAACCUGGAAAAGAGCCAAGGAAGAUAAAGACAACUAUCAAAGGGAUGGGAAAACAGCAUACAAUUUAAAGGAAAGAUUUUUUUUUUUAAUUUGGAAAACAACUAUUUAUGUGUGUGUGUGUGUGUAUAUAUGAAGAGGUUCAGAGCUGUUAUUUUCUGGAAUAAUUUCAACUCAGCAUAACCACAGUCAUCCAUCUUCCCCAUUCCUGCUCUAGCGCAUCUGAGCACCACUGGAAAAAAAAUAGAGUCAGAUUAAUUUGUACCCCCUGCACUUAGAAUCCACAGCCUUACCUGGCCCUGCCACUCUGCUGGCAAUCUGAACAUUUUCACUUGUCAACUCACUUCUUCUGCCCACUUUUGUGACCCUUCAGACUUCCUCCACUGAAACAUUUAACCAACCUAACCUCUUGAAAUAUGACUUUUGGUGCUACUUCUCCAAGAAAAUAGAAGCCAUCAGAUACAUAUUUCUUCAUAUUUUAGCCACCAAACCUGACUAAACUGGAUUUGUAUUAGUUCUCAGCUCUGUUUUCCAUUUAAAAUAAAGAAGGUGGUCCCUUCUCCAGCCUCAGGAAUCUCAUGCUAUCUAUUAUUUCUGUUUCCUACUAUCCUUGGCCUUCCCACUGAACCAUAUCCCUGCCAUGAGCACUUAAGCAUGCUCUAAUCUCUCACUUGAGAGGAAAAAUUCCUAUUCUUCCCUCCUUUUCUCUCCCUCAGCUCCUUCCCUUCAGCCAACUCAUCAAAAUAAUUGCCUGUACUUUUACAACUGAUUUAAAUCCUAGGCUACACUUUUAGUGGUGUAAGAAAGAAAGUCAUUAUUUUUUUGCAAUUCAGUAUCUUAUUCUGCCAGAUGGCAAAACUUAAGACAGCAUCUAGGUUCUAGGGGCUGGUUAGUGCCAACGCAUUGGUGAACCAUAAGUCCUCAGUUGUCAUCCAUUCAUCCUGGCAUCUGCCAAGACAUCCAUCAGUCUGUCUUUGGCCCUAUAUCCAUGAGUUGCUGCAAAAUUAUCUCCACUGCAGUCCAAGAGGACCCAGCUCAAAUGACCACCUUAGAGCCCCUCUCUAAACAUAAAAAAAAUCAUCUCUCUAUCUCAGAACCAUAGAGGACUAUGACCACACCCAUUUCGAGGGGGGUCACUGGCUGCUUUUAAAAAAAACUUUUCAAACAUUUUAAAUUUUUAAUAUGUUUUGAAAUUACAAAAAAUUAGCUGGGCACAGUAGCGCGUGCCUGUAAUCCCAGCUACUCAGGAGGCUGAGGCAGGAGAAUUGCGUGAGCCCAGGGGGCGGAGGUUGCAGUGAGCCGAGAUCGCGCCACUGCACUCCAGCCUGGGUAACAAGAGCGAAACUCCAUCUCAAAAAAAAAAAAAAAAAUUUUAAUAUGUUUUGCUAUUGUUGGGUCAAUAAAUCAAAAUUAUAUAUGAAACAUACAUUGAAGUUUCACUGUAUGUAAUUUUACUAUUUACUAUAACUCCCAAGUAAGACAAAGUAUUUAAUACAAAUUGCCACAUUACCUUCUCCAUAGGUUGUACUAUUUUUCACUUCCACCAUUAAGUUAUGAGUGUGAUUGUUUCCCUGCAGUUUUGUCAAUAGAGUGAUUUUAUAUUGUGGGUUACAACCAAUGGUAAGUCAUGAAUUUAGUGUAAUGGUUUAUAGUGAACAUUUAAAACAAACUGAAGUGGUGUAGGACAGAAUAAAUCAUAUCAGAUUUCACCAUACACAGUUUGAUAGAUAUACAUUUUUUUGAUACCUCUCCCUUCAAAUAAUAUAAAUUCAUUUUCUUUCCCCUUAAUUGUGGCUGUACUUAGCGACUCAUUCCUUUUUUUUUUUUUAAACUCGGGUUAUUUGUCUCAACAAAAAGUCAAGAAAAGAGCAGCCUAAGAAUACCAUCAGAGAUACAGCUUCCAGGCCUCCAUCCUGGACUUUAAAGUUUUAUAUUGACAUAUGUUUGUAAGAUGACUUGCAUCUCCAGGUCUCCACUCUCCAUACCAAGAAAGAGAAAAGGGAGAAUAAGGGGUUUUUAAAAAAAGUUUUGCCUUUCUAUUCAGGAAGACAUGACCUUCCUGUAGAUGUCUGAUUACAGCUUAUUGCCAGAACGAUUUCACAUGGCUAUCCUCAGGUGUUAGGGAGGUUGAAGACUUGAAAGUUUUAGUAGAGUGCAUUUUCUUUUCCCUAAAUAGUAUUAUGAUGAUCACUUUUAAUGAAUAGAAUGUGGCAGAAGUGAAGAUACCUGAAAUAUUAGGACAAAAAGAAGUAUUGACUGUGGCUUUUUCAUUGCUCUUUCUCAGUUCAAUUAUUCUGGGGAAACCCAACUGCCAUGUUGUAGGAAACUAAAGCAACUCUGUGAAGGAGCCCACAUGAUGAAAAACUAAGACCUCUUGCCAACAGUCAUAUGCUUGAGGCAUCUUGGAAACAGCUCCUGCUGACAUCUUAACUACAAUUCCUAACAGACCUAUAUCAGAACUACCCAGCUAAUCUGCUUCAAGUUUCUGAUUCACAGAAGCUUUGAGAGAAUAAUUGUUUUAAGCUGCUACAUUUGGGGCUAACUUGUUAUACAACAAUAAUAACUAAUACACGUAGUAGAAGUAAGUAUGGGUUCAUGAAACAUUUAUUUUAGUUAUAUAUGAGUGUGUGCUAGGUCUCAGUGUAAAAUGAACCCCUUCUUACAGGUUUCAGUAAAAAACAAAACGGAAAAUUCUGCACAAAACAAAUGAAGAAACAGUUUUCUACUCUGAGGCCUUGUGGCUGCCUUCCAUAUAUAUAUAUAUAUAGAUAUAGAUAUGAGUUUAUUAAGUAUCAACUCACACAAUCACAAGGUCCCACAAGGCCAUCUGCAGGCUAAGGAGCAAGGAGAGCCAGUUUGAGUUCCAAAACUGAAGAACUUGGAGUCUGAUGUUUGAAGGCAGGAAGCAUCCAGCAUGGGAGAGAGAUGUAGGCUGGGAGGCUAGGCCAGUCUCUCUCUUCACAUUUUUCUGCCUAUUUAUAUUCUAGCUGUGCUGACAGCUGAUUAGACUGUGCUCACCAGAUUAAGGGUGGGUCUGCCUUCCCCCGCCCACUGACUCAAAUGUUAAUCUCCUUUGGCAGCACCCUCACAGACACACCCAGGAUUCAUACUUUGCAUCCUUCAGUACAAUCAAGUUGACACUCAAUAUUAACGAUCCCAUGGUUGGCCUCGCUUCCCUUUUGGAAAUAUUCUUGUCCUGGUGUUCAUGUUAUUACUCUCUCCUGGUUUUCCUCUAAUCACUCUGAUCACCCCUUCCUAAUCUCUUUUACUACUUUCUCUGCUUCUUCAUCUCACAUUUUAAAAAUCACUUUAAAAAUAGGUAAUAUUGCACAUGAUAGGAAUAUGAAAAGGUACAAAAGGGUACAGAGUGAAAAAUAAAUGUUUCCCUUUUCCUUUCUGCUCUUACACCUAAAACCUGCCAGUCAACUCCCUUUUUCCCAGUCUGUUCCUCUUCAACUCAAAGUCAUUACCCAGGCCUGGUUUUUAUCAAUAAUUUCAAUGGACUUGAUGACCUAGUUCUAGGUUCUCCAUGAGAAGUCCAAAGUGGGCUUCCAUCACAAGCAUCCAUUACUAAAUAUUUUGGAUGUUCCAUCCAAACAUCCAUCACAAAAUAUUUUGGAGUUCCCAGUUGGUCUUCCACAUGUACUCAGAAAAAUGUCUGUUCCUAUGGUCUCUGUGUUACUCUUCCAGGCACCAUUGUUAAUCCAAGUAGCUCUGCCAAGAACUGUAGCUAGGAAGGAAGUAGAGAUUGUGAUUAGUGGACAACAUUUUUUAAACAUGGCAUCUUUUCAACAUUUUAUUAGUAGACUUUAUUUUUUUAGAGCAUUUUUAAGUUCACAGCAAAACUGAAAGUACAAAGAUUUCCCAUUUAUUCUUUGCCCCCACACAUGCAAAGCCUCACCUGUUAUCAGUAUCCCCUACCAGAGAGGUACAUUUGUUAUAAUCAAUGAACCUACAAUGACACAUCGUUAUCAGCCAAAGUCCAUAGUUUACAUUAGGGUUCACUCUUAGUGUUGUACACUCUACGGGUUUUGACAAAUGACAAUACAUGUAUCUAUAAUUAUAGCAAUAUGUAGAAGAGUUUUAUUGCCAUAAAAUUCUGGGCUCCAUCCAUUCAGCCCUUCCUUCUCAUAGUCUCUUUAAACCACUGAAACUUUCUGUCUCCAUGGUUUUUCCUUUUCUAGACUGUUAUAUAAUUGAAAUAUACUGUAGGUAGCCUUUUCAGAUCGGCUUCUUUUACUUAGUAAUAUGCAUUUCAGGUUUCUCCAUAUCUUUUCAUGGCUAAAUACCUCAUUUCCUUUUAGCGCUGAGUAAUAUUCCAUUGUCUGGAUGUACCAUAUCUUAUUUAUCUGCUUAUUUGCUGAUGGCAUCUUGGUUGCUUCCAGUAUUUUGCAAUUAUUAAUGAAGUUUCUAUAAACAUUUGUGUGCA